CUCUCUUUUCCCAUAAAUCUCCUAGAAGAGAACAUAGGUGAAAAGUUCCAUGGCGUUUGUCUUGGAAAUUACUUCUUGAAUAUGACAAAAAGCACAAGCAACAAAAAGCCACUUUAGACAGGAGAGAUUACGUCUAACCAAAAUCCUACGUUGAACCGAAUGAAGCAAUCGACACAGUGAAAAGGCCACCUACAGAAUGGGAGUUGCUCCACCUUUGAAUAUACUCACAACCACUGCACUGUACACUUUAAACGGGUGAAAUUUGUGGUAUCUGAAUUGUAUCUCAAUAAAGCUGUUUCUUUGAAUGAAGGAGGAAAGAAUCUCUGGAGAAAUUAAAAAUGUUCAUAAGUUAUUCCUGAGUUAACGUACGUACUGAUAAUACGUUAGGAUACAAGUUGGAGGGAUCUUUUUGAGUUAUUACAAAACGAAACCCGUACGAAGACUUCCAGAAGGCUGAAAAGCAUCAAUGCGGUAGGAGGUUUCCAAAGCGACCUCACUGGCAGAGCAGCAAGGUUGCAAGAACAAUGUGAAAACAAAGCUAUUUCUCAGGCGUGACCUUCGUGAUUGUUUCUGUCUCAGACUCCCAUGGAUACCGCCUGCUUUCCGAUCCUGGAUAUGCAGUCCUCUUAUUGGCUCCAUGUGCAACCUGAUAUUCUCACAUCAGGUUCCUUUUCGGUUGAGCAACCGUGAGUGUUUUUCUGUUGUUUGUAAUCAAACCUACUGAUGGAUACAGGAGGUGGCAGAUGUAGGUGUUAUUUACAUCUAUGAAGUGAAAGGAAAUUUCUUAGAGAGAAAAUGUAGAAAAGGAGGAAACAAAGCCACAAUCUGGAGCAUAGCAGCAAAAAAGAGGAAGAGGAGCCGGGAAAUAACUCAAAGAAUAAGAUCUACCCUGGAAGGAAGAUCACCAGAAGACAAUGGUUUCGUGGAAAUGUUUACUUGGGAUUUCUCUUGAAAUCCACACUAUUUGAAGAGACUGGCAGUGGACAGCAUGUUCAAUGCUACCAGGAGGGCAAGCCAAGUCAGAAGGAUGAUAAUUGGAUUUGACAGUAUGAAAGUUACUAAAGAGCAUGAAGAAAAGCAUAUUUGGAGGACAGAAGGCCAUGCAAGACAUUGGAGAUGGAGAUGAGGAAGUGGUGGCAACCUGUUCCAACAACUCGCCAGAAAAGUUUUGCUGUGAAGGGCAGCAGGCGGGGUCUUGCUGUGAUGCACAAACUCAUCCUGAACUCCUGGCUUCAAAGUGGAGUCUCCCAAAGCUCUGUCCAGUGGUGCUGUCAUAACUCACUGCAGCCUCGAACUCCUGGGCUCAAGUCAUCCUCCUGCAUCAACCUCUGGAGUAGCUGAGAUCACAGCCAUAUACCGCUAAGGUUUCCUGUUUUUGUUUCUUUGGAGAUGAGGUCUCGCUACAUUGACCAGGCUCGUGUCCAACUCCUGGCCUCGGAGAAUCCUCCUGCCCCAGUGUCCUGCAUAGCUGGGGUUAUAGGUGUGAGCCACUGCACAGAGCUGGAUGAGGGAUAAUGAUGGGACACUCAUAGCUCCUUAGUGUUUGGGUGAUUGUCUCUGUGUGUUCAUAUGUUCACAGGGAGCUGGAGACAUAGACAGAUCCCAUUAUUGAGACAUAAAGAAAUCCCUGCAAUGAAGCAGGUUAAUGGAGGAGACUUUCUCCUUUCCAGGAAGAUAAAAGGGCGGUGCUCAAAACAGGAGGAAAAGCCACGAACAGGGAUUCCCCUGAAAUGGAAUGUCCUCAGAAGACCUUAUCUUUUCCGUGGGAGGCAGGGGAUGGGUGGUUCUUUUUGGAUUCCAGAAGCACGAAUACUUAGCCAUCGCUCACUAAUAGUUUGUUCCACUGUAAUUUCAUGUAGUCACUACUGACCCUUCAUUGGAAUCUGUAACUGGCGUAACCUCUACAGUCCUGUGAGUGGUACUGUUGGGGAUUUAAGGAGCAGAGCAGUUGAAGCGAAGCGCUGCCACCCUGGCAUUGCCAUUCCCCAUGGGUACUUCUCCAAGGGAAAUUGGUCAUGGUCAUCCAGACAGAGACCAGCAGCCGAGUGGAUUUGAGCUCCCCUGAGAGGGCUGUGAACCACAGGGGAGUCACUGGCAGAGACGGAGUCUCACUGUGGUGUCAAGAGAGCUUGGGCAUCCGCCGGCAGUAGGGACAGCCGGAAAGCAACCGACUUACCCCGUCUCACCAGACCUUCCAACUGUCUGCCACACUGGCAUUGCCAGGUAUCCCUGCACGUUGUUGGUAGCGGUGGGGGCUAUACAUUUCACGAUGGCUCUAGAAAGUGUAUCUAAAAAUCACAUAGGCACCCAGGGGAUCCCUCUCAACUCCUCCCAGGAUGACAAAUCUCUCUCCCCCAACUCUGGGAGACGGAGGACAAAUGUGCUCUCUGCAGAGCAUGAACCAGCAGAUUUAUGGGCGUCGGAACUUCAGGCUCGCUUGAAGGCAUCCGUCCUAACCCGGCAUGGGGAUUCCAGUUGCUGUCUACAGAAAUCUUCAGUCCCUUACCUCCACUGGAGUUUGAUAUCCAGAUUGCUGGCAUCUUGCCCCUUCUCAGAGAUGCUGGAGAGUCUUCCUGUGGAAUCUAAACUUCCCCAUUGAGGAGACUUAGUAAUAGGGGCGGCAAAGACUGCUGGAGCUUGCUUCAUUAGUAAGCUCAAAAUAUUUUCUUAUUUCAACCUUAGUUUUUCUUAGAGCCAUGGAUUUCUUAGGAGGAUGUUUCUUAAAUUACAAACAUAUACGGGGGUGGGGGGGCUGUAAUGAUCUUUUGUUAUUAAUUUCUAGAUCCCAUUGUGGCAUUGUGGUCAGACAAUAUACGAAUCACCAAAGAAUCCUUUGUUUAUGGACAUUCCUGGGAUUUUAUUCAUUUAAGUAUCUUUAUGUGCAUUGUAGUGGAAUAGAAUGCAAAGGUGGAGUUGCCCAAAAAAUGAGGGUACCGCUCAGUAGAUGGUUACACAGGAACGUCUGAUCCCCUGCGAUCUGGGUUAAGAAAUGGUGUGCUGUGUGGCCAGCAGCCAAAAAGCACACUCAUGCCAGUCACUCUUUUCUUCCGCCUCAGCAAAUCUAAGCACUCUUGAGCUUUGAACACUUGAAGGUAAUUCUGCCUGUUUGUGAACACAUCACAUAUAAGCAGAAUCGUUACAGUACAUAUUUUACAAUCUGGGUUUCUCUUGGCAACAUUAGGUUUUUCUUUGAACUAUUCGCUUUUGUCGUGCUGUGUAGCUGAAUUUCGUUUCUUUGCAUUCCUGCACAGUAUUUUGAUUUGCAUGACGAUGCCACAGUUUGUUCAUGCCUUUUUACCUCUAAUGGACAUUUCAGUAGUUUCCAGUGCUGGAGUGUUAGUGUUAUUAUCGUGGCGCACGUUCCCAGGCAUGUCCUUUGGUUAACGUGCGUAUGCAUUUAAGGCUGCUCUCGCAGGACCGCCUUGAUUACUUUUUCUUCCUUCAUGGCACUAUAAGUGGUGACAGUGGAUGUAUCUGUUUUUUUCUUUUUUUUUCCUGUUCUCAGAGGGAAAGCUGUCAACAUGUCACCAAUGAAUAUCGUUGUUUUUGUAGGCUUUUAAAGGGUAUUUUAAAGGAUAUUCUGAUGGAAUCAAAAGAGUUCUUUUUUAUUCAUAGUUGGCUAAGAGGUUUUAUCAUAAGUGUGUGAUCAUUUAAAAAAAAUCAAACCCAUAAAAUACCCUUUCUGCCUCCAUAGGGAAUAUCAUAUUUUUUCUCUUUCACACAUUACUUCUGAGAGAGAGAUUUUUCAAGGGCUGAACCGCUUCAUUUCUAGAAUAGUCUUGAGUUGUUUGUGAUACGUUUUCCUUUAUGGAGAUUUAACUGAUUUGUUUUGCUAAUGCUUUAUUCAAGAUUUCUUCCUCUGUGCUUAUGCGAAAGACAGGCCUGUGCAUUUCAUGUCUUACCAUGCCCUUGAAGGUUUAUGCCUCAUAAAAUGGGAUGGGAAUCAUUUCCCCUUUUUUAUGUUACUUGGCAAGACGGUAAGAUUGACAUUCUUUCCUUUACAGAUGUUUUGUAGAAUUAAUCGGUGGCGGAAUCAAAGUCUGGAGUUUCUUGUGGCUGCUGCUGUUGUUUCCUUCAGAUUCCACCCAUCUAGAAUUUGUAGGACAACUCAGAUGUUUAGUCUGUUUCUGUCAUUUUGUGGUAUUUUCUUGGAAUGUGUAAAUUAUAUCCAAAGUUUCAGAUUUGCGGGCAUAAGGUUGUGUUCAUGAUUUGGAGUAAUGAUCUCUUUAAUGUGCUCGUUGUCCGUUGCGAUGUCUCCUUAGCCACUGCAGACACUGGUUGCUUCAUGAUCUCUCUCUUUUUCGUUGCCUUUUAAUUCCAUUUUCUUGCCGAAUUGCCCUCUCAAAUUCCAGGACUAUGUUGAGAAGAAGAGGCAAAAGUGGACAUUUGCUUUGCUCCUGAUCUCAGAGGAAGAGUUUUCACUCUUUCGCCAUCCAGUACGGUGUUCACGGAGAGUACUUUAUAUAGGGCGCUUGUGAUGUUGAGGUUGUUUCCUUCUGUUCCAAGGAGUUUGAGUGUUUUUAUCACAAAGGGGGUUGACUUUUGUCAGAUGCUUUUAGUGCAUCGAUUGAGCCGAUCAUGUGGUUUUUGUCCUUGAUUUUGUUGAUGCCGUACACUAAAUUAAUUGAUUUUCAUUGGUUGAAACUUCUUGCAUUCCACAAAUGAAGCCCAGGUGGUCGUGGGCUUUUCACUUGUUGUUGAACUGGGUGUGCUAGACUUUUGUUGAAUAUGUAUGCAUAAACAUUCUUUUGGGGUGUGCGUGUGUGUGUGUGUUUCUGGUCCUAAUUCUUCUUUAAAUGUUUGGUAGAAUCCUCCACUGAAGCCAUCUGGUCUUGGGGUUUUCUCUGUUGGGAGGUUGAAGAGGACUGAUUAAGUCUCCUUAUGAGUUAUGGAGAUCUGCUGAGAGUUUUUAUUUCUUUAAGAGUCAGUCUUGGCAACAUGGUACGUUUCUCGGAAUUUAUCCAUUUCUCGAAAAUAUCAAAUUUGCUGGUGUAGAGUUGUCCCUGGUCUUGUUUUUAUAAUCUUUUUAUUUCUGUAGUAUCAAUUGUAAUGCCUCUCUGUCACUCCGAUUUCAGUUAUUUGACACUUCUCGAUUGCUUCUUAGUUAAUCUGCUUAAUGGGUUCGUCCAUUAUGUUGGCCUUUUCAGAGACACCAGCUCUUAGGUUCAUUGUUUUUUUUUUACUCUAUUAUUUGUCGAUUCUCCAUUUCCUUUAUUCGUGCUCUAAUCUUUAUUACUUCCUUCCUUCUGCUAACUUUGGGUUUAUGUUGUUCUUCCCUUUCUAGUUUUUGAAACAUAAAGACAGGUUGUUGAUUUGAGAUCUGUCUUCUUUUUCACCGUAAGCAUUUAACACAAUAAACUUGCCCCUUAACACUGCUUUCCCUGCAUCUCCUUACUUGUGGUAUAUGGUGUUUUCAUUUUCAUGUGUCUCAAGAUAUUUUCUAAUAUCCUUGUGGUCUGUUCUUCGACCCAUUGCUUAUUGAAGAGAGUGUUGUAAUUUCCACCUAUGUGUGACUUUUUAAGUUCUCCUUCUGUUAUUGGUUUCUAGUUUCAUUCAGUUGUGGUCAGAAAAGAUACUUGGUAUGAUUUCAAACUUCUGAAAUCUGUGAAGAUCCUAAAUGUCAGCAAAAAAGCUAAAGCAUAAGACCUCUGGAAGAAAAUGGAGGAUGAAGCCUUGAGAAUCUUGCUGUAGGCGAAGAACUCUUACAGCUAUGACACAGAACGCGAUAGCCACGCAAAAACAGGUUAAGUGAAUUUCAUCAAAUUUAGAAAUCUGGCUUUUCAUCGUUAGCAAAAUGAGAAAGCAAACCAUUGGUUGUGACAAUGUUUGCUAAAUACACUGCCCGACAAAGGAAAAGUUUGCACACAAAAAAGCACUCUUACAAUUCCGUAUUGACGCCAAAUAACAAUCAAUGGGCAAACCGGGUGAAGGGUUCUUCAUGUGCACACCCCAAACGAUAUGCCACUGGUCAAGGGAAGAGGCUGGGCCAAAGUCACUAGUGGAGGC